rnacentral:tRNA from 1 species
AUAGUAGUGGUUCAGUCGUAGAAUUUUGGCCUUCCAUGCAAGAGACCCGGGUUUGAUUCCUGGCAGUUGCA